AUACGUAGGGGGCGAGCGUUGUCCGGAAUGAUUGGGCGUAAAGGGCGCGUAGGCGGCGCGGUAAGUCUGGAGUGAAAGUCCUGCUUUCAAGGUGGGAAUUGCUUUGGAUACUGCCGCGCUUGAGUGCAGGAGAGGUUAUCGGAAUUCCCGGUGUAGCGGUGAAAUGCGUAGAGAUUGGGAGAAACACCAGUGGCGAAGGCGACUUACUGGACUGUAACUGACGCUGAGGCGCGAAAGUGUGGGGAGCAAACAGGAUUAGAUACCCUGGUAGUCCACACUGUAAACGAUGAAUGCUAGGUGUAGGGGGUAUCGACCCCUUCUGUGCCGCAGUCAACACAAUAAGCAUUCCGCCUGGGGAGUACGGCCGCAAGGUUGAAACUCAAAUGAAUUGACGGGG
rnacentral:rRNA from 1 species